rnacentral:rRNA from 1 species
CCUACGGGCGGCAGCAGUGGGGAAUAUUGGGCAAUGGAGGAAACUCUGACCCAGCAAUGCCGCGUGAAUGAAGAAGGUCUUCCGAUUGUUAAGUCCUUUAGUCAUGGAAGAAUAAAAUGACGGUACCUGAAGAAUAAGCUCAGGCUAACUACGUGCCAGCAGCCGCGGCAAUACGUAGGGAGCAAGCGUUGUUCGGAAUGACUGGGCGUAAAGGGUGCGUAGGCGGUUAUACAAGUUAGAAGUGAAAUACCGCGGGCUUAACUCGGGUGCUGCUUCUAAAACUGUAAGACUUGAGUGCAGUAGAGGUUAGUGGAAUUCCUAGUGUAGCGGUGGAAUGCGUAGAUAUUAGGAGGAACACCAGAGGCGAAGGCGGCUAACUGGACUGCAACUGACGCUGAGGCACGAAAGUGUGGGGAGCAAACGGGAUUAGAUACCCGUGUAGUC